rnacentral:lncRNA from 1 species
AGAAAACACAACAUAAAUGCAUAAGAACUAACUAACUAAGGCGCAUAAAUAUGCUCCUAUCACUAGGCUACUCUUUUACGUGCUCGGCUGGUUUAUACCACGACUGCGGUGCAUGUAGUUCAUUCUUAGCAGGCGAGGGAAUUCUUUGCAGGCUGUUGGUUAAGCUUGAGCUGGAUUGAGUGACUGCUUCUCUCUAUCCUUCGUGCUGCCUACUCCGAUGUGAGGUGGACGAAAUGAACAUUUCGCUUGGAAGGUUGUUCAUGUUGACUAUCGAAGUGUGGUCUCAACCGUGAAUGUAUGAUUGUCUGUGAGCCUAGUCGAGAGUGCACACUCCUUGAUGUGAUAUAAAAUAGCACACAAACUUAAACCCUCUUUUUGAUAGUUUUAGUAUGUGUAAGUAGGGAUCGUUCUAGGCCGGGAAUUAUGAAGAAUGCUAAUCUACACAAAUUUAACUCAAAAACACAAAACUAACCAGAAUGACUCCAAACAUCACAAAACAAACAAAUUGACUCAAAACAGGAACUAAAGAGUGAUUUAGACGAAUUCUAAACUUAACUUGACUCAAAAUAUUAACGGGGGGUUGUUUUGACGAAUUUAAAACUAAAACUAAGUAACUUGCAGAAAACAAACUAAUUGAUAUGAAAUUAGGGUGAAUGAAGAGGGUGAAAGUGAAGGGAAAUUAUGAGAUUUCAUGUGGGAUUUCUAGUGACUAACAUGCAUAUACAAUUCAAAAUUUAUAUACGAAAGCAACGGAAGCAUGUUAUCAAAUAAUAUCAAAGCUCUAGUCAUGUAAAUCCCCUUCAAGAUGCAUAGGUUUAUGUAAGAUGCAUCAAAAACAAAUUUAUUUAAGAACAAAGUUUAGGAGUAGUUUUAUACCUCUUGAUCUAGAUCUUAGACCAAGGAUGGACCACCUCCAAGCCCUUUGCUCCUUGAACUCCUUGAGCCUAGCCUCCUUCCUUGCCUCCUCCACUUUGUUUAGUAUGAGUGCUCCUAGGUUCUCUUCAAGUUUCAAAAAUUGAAAACCUCUAAAGAUCCUCACCCACUAGUGUAGUGAGAAGGAUGAAGGAAUAACCAAAGGGGUGAAAAGAUGAUUAGCUAAAAUCCCCCUAUGGUGGCCGGCCCUUUGAGUGUUAGAGAGAUAUUUUUCUUUUUCUCUUUUGUUCUUUUGACACUUCAAAAACCCCUAAUGAAACAUUUGCUAUAAAGUUCCUUUUAUAGCCAAAAAGAAACAAGUCAACAUUUGACCUUUCUCUCCCUCCUUUGGCCGGCCCCCUUUGUGUUGUUUGGGCUUUGGGCUUUUAUUUAUUUCAAGUCAUCCAAUGCUUGAAUAAAAGCCCAAUGGGUUUAGGCCCAAUGGGCCCAAUUAAACCCCGAACGUUUCUUUAAGCCCAAAACGAUCUUAUAUCGCUUUUAUGAUUUCUUUAGACAUUCUAAUUAAUCACAACACUUAAUUAAUCCAAUUAAUUAUUUCCAUCAUCCAUUAGUUACUCAUUACAAGAGUGUAUUGGUGAACAAUCGUUUUAGGUUCUAAUUAGCAAGGCAGUGAGGUGAUUGGCACUAAUCCAAUUGAUUAUAUUUAAUCCAAUCACUUAGUGAAUUAAAACUUACUUUUAAUUCACCUUCUUCUUUGACGACUACAUUUAAUCAUCUAGAAGAACUCACAAGCCAUGAGUGACAUCUAACCAUAUAUCAUGGCUACCCAAGCUAAUGUAGAAGUUGUUCGGAGAACCUAUUUAGUUGGAAUUACAAUGUAAUUCGAUCAUUCUCUAAAACAAUACUCUCAAUCACAUCACUAGGGUAUGGAUAUAUUAUGUCGAACCCCUAAUGUGAUUAUUCCUUCUUAUAUGAUUCAAUUGAGUCGUAUAGGAACGCUUUCCUUUAUUACGCUCGAUACUUCGGCCGAAGAUUCCAGAAUCAUAUCUUAGAGUAUUCAUCAUCUCUUAACGAAGAUUAGAGAUUCCUUGUUAUGCAUUCACUGGCCUUCAUGACUAAGUGGCUUAACCUCGACUAUGCCGUGGACACCCGCAGAUGGAGUGACUUUGAUAUAAUCAAAGAUCAAGUACUUAACCACAAGACAACGAUGAUGCCUCAGGUCAAAGGACUACUUACAUUAUUCCAACUAUUAGAGUUACUUGCUUGACAUGUGAGUAGACCUCCAUGCAAGUACGCUCGUUCGAUUGUGUUCAGUGAACUCAUUCCCUUAAUGAGCACCUACAUACUUGUCUUAGUGUCACUACACGAAUGGGAUGAGACUUUCCAUCCUUCUAAUUGAAGCGGACAUAGUACGUACCGGUCUAUGCAUUGUCAGUAUCCCUCCGACAAUCCUAUGACCAGGAACCUUUUGGACAUGAUGGUUAUGUGAAGAAGGUCUCUGUAGUCUAACAUCAUUAGAUUACUUCUUCAAUCGAUCCAUUGUCCAUGGAUUCAUCAUUUAGGACAUAUAUCGUUUAUAUAGAUAGUCCUAAAUAGUAUCUUUGCCAUUUGAUGUACAAGAGUCAUCUAUACAUCCAUUUAUUGUCCUGAAAGGUUUCUUCCAAACAUUGACUUUCAGGGCAUAUUUCCAACAAUCUCCCACUUGCACUAAAGUCAAUCACUAGUGUAUCUUAUACAUGCUAGUUGAGAGAGCUUAUGCUCGUAGGUUAACUUGGUUAUGUAUUAAUCCUUUUUAUUUAAAAGGGAUUCACUUAUCAAAUGUUUCCAAAACAUUUGAUGAUGUCUCUUUCUUGUGUUCGAAUACUUUGAUGAGACCUUGAUUCCAUGGCUUGAGCUAUCGCCCCAUUACGUCGUAGUGUCCUACUAACGACCUUAUGGUUUGGAUUCAAUCAUUGGUUCUAAAAGAACCCCUUCCAUCCAAAACACAUUUUGAAGCAGUUUCUAAAACAAUAUAUCGUCAUAUAUUUCGUUUGUAUACUUUAUACAAACUUUGCUCCAACCUUGAGACCAUUGUAGUACAAUACUUACAAUACAUUCAUAUGAUUAGUACUUCAUCCAUUAUGAAGUUCCAUUUGUUAAAAUGGGUUAUUUUCACUUUGGUUAAUAACCUAAGUGAAUGCACGCUUCCAGAGUCCUACUCUGAUGUUCCUUUCUUAAAGGCAAUAAUACUCUAUCAGUUGCUUUGGUUCUGAUCCUGGGAUAUAGUAAUAUCUUAAAGUGGCAACCCCUGUGGUUCUUCACUUUUGGAUAUCUACUCACAAGUCCAUACAUGUGUCCCUUUUGUGAUUUUGUGACACAUUCAUUAUAAGGGUUACGAAAGUGAUUUUUCUAUCAUAUAAGAAAAUGCUUUCUUAAAUCUUCAACAUUUGAGAUUUAAUUUCCCCAAAUAACAUCCUUGAGAUAGCCUUGCUAUAUCAAUAAGUCCAAUUUCAAGUCUAUACUUUAAAAUUGACCGUGUCAUGUUUUGUCAAUUUUCGAGUAACAUCUAUGUUCUAUCAAGUCUAUCAAAUAGACUUUAUUCAUAUCUUGUUGCUCAAAUUAUGACAUCACUCCCACUGGCCUUGUUGUAACUUAGCAUUCAUUCAAAAACUUAACAAUUAUAUUUUCUUGAUUUGAAUGCAUAUUGCUCCCACUAACUUGUCUUGGAUCUAUUGACAAUCAUUAAGAUCCAUUAGCUUAUUGAUGAUGUCUCAACUAUUUUGAGACUAUCAACAACUCUAGCUAACACAAGUUAUUUAAACGAAUCAUAUACAAAAGAAUUCCUUCUCAAGUAAUUCCUUUGAAAUGUGUGACUUGCUUUGUCAAGUCUAUUCAUUUAAUUAUACGGUGUCAUACACCAUACUCCAAGUUUUAGUCAUACUAAGACCUUUAAUGUAGUCAUAUAAGAAUUAUCCAAGUCUUUAGUGGAAGCAUGGCUCCUACUAAGGAUAUAGAAACUCAACCAUUCCUUCUAGGUGGUUGAUAUAAUUCUUUAUCAAAACUACAUAGAGAGUUGUAGUUACAAAAGAUGUUGAUUUUGGAUUGUCUUGUUGUUAAACUAUAUGUUGUGACUCAUUUUGAAACUAUUCCCUUUUGUUUCAUCAAAUUUGUCCAUGGGCUUUGUUAUUAGCUUGUUCUCAUAAAAGAGAAUGAUGGACAACUCCCAACAUAUAACCAUUUUAUGUUAGGUUGACGAAACCAACAUUCAAAGACUAUUCUUUAGAAUGUUAAACAACAUAGAAUUUUAACGUUUGAAGAGCUUGAGUCCUUUAACAAUUAAAAUUACAAACUCUUAAUAAUAGUCAAGUACUAUUAUUCUUUAGACAACUAUAAACCAAUCAUAUUUAAGUUUAUAUCCAUUUUCACACCUCCCACUAUUUUUCAUGACUUUAAUGAGAAAUCACUUCAUACAUUCAAAAUGUAUAAAUGUGGAGUAUACGGGUAGAGGACAUUGUGUAGUAGCCUUAAAACCUUUCAAGCUCGUUUGUUUCAAUCUUCACUAAGUUAAUGUCUUGUUAUUAAGUGACUAAAGUCUUUAAACAUUUUAUAGAUGUAGACACUUCUUUCUUGGUUUAAUCACUAACACAAUUGACAUUUUAAAACAAUUUAAAGAAUGCCCAAUUAGUUGUUCAAAACUACUAAUUGAAUCAAGAGUGAUCUUGAUUAUUGUGGUUUAAGUGAUAACCAUAUAAGAAACGUUUUUCUUAUUACUUAUAUCAUUAUAAUGUGAUCUUCCUUUUCUUCAAGAAAGGAAUCUCUAGAUCUUGUCAAUUCUUAUAGAACUCAUAGGUAGACAAUUGGAACCAAAUCUAAAGAUUCAUUGUAUCCUUUUAUGUCCUACAUGUGAGAUCUAUCCAUAAUUGAUAAGUCUAAAGUUUGGUCAUCACAUUACAAUAGGUGAUAUAAAUCUUGUAUCUCAACUAGGAUACAACAAGACAAUAUUCAAUUCAUAACACUACUUUAAGGAAAUAAUAUAUUAGAAGGCAUUCAUCACAUUACAUUGAUAUGAUAAUUCAAACAUUCAUAACGUUUAAUACAAAAAGAAUUAGCUCUAUACAUUUAGAGACUAAUUAUAUACCUUCAUGUAGUCACUAAUAGUGGUCUUCCAUCAUAUGAAGCCACAUUAUAAGUUCUUAACAAAAUAAGAAAGUUUAAAGACUAUCUUUAAAUGCCUAACAAACUUCCUAAGUAGUAAGCAAAAACAUGGUGGCCGAACCCUUCUCCACGCUUUUCUUUGCUUGUUCCUCUUCUACUUGGCUCCUCCACCUAUAUACAAUUAUACAAGUGAUUAGCCCUUUAUAUCAAAUAUAAAUUUUAGAAGAUCUAACAAUUAGAAUUGACAAUAAGAACAUAAACCAUACCUUGUGGCUUGUCCUUAAGAGUUGCAAGGUAUAACCUGCAAUUCCUCUUCCAAUGCCCCUCCUUUCCACAGUGAUGGCAAGUCCCCUUGGGUUCAUUUGCCUUCUUUUUCCUCACUCCUCCUUGCGGCUUAGGAGUGGGAGACUUCUUCUCCUUCCCUUUGCCUUUGCCUUGCGGCUUGGCCUUGGAAGAGGAUGGCUUGUUGUAGGCUACUGCA